UGACGGGACGUAUUAUGGUAUACCCCGCGUCCGUCUGUCCGUCCGUCCGUCUGUCCGUCCGUAUGUCUGUUAAUGUCGUACGCUACGUCAAAUAUCCUUUGACAGAUUUUCUUCAAAUUUUAACACAAUCUUAAUAUUGAUAAACCCUGAUCCCCUUUCGUUUUUGACGGAAUUCUGAAUUGUCGUUCCAGAGUUAUGGGACUUUGUUCGUCAAAAUUUCGUGAUUUCAUUGAAUGUCCUACUGUAGCUAUAUAAAAAUGUUAAAGUUGUUAUAACUUUGGUAUGCUUGGACCUAGAGUCUUGAAACUUGACAUGAAGGUUGGCCAGAACUAGUAAGUAACCACUGGACAUUUCAAGGUCAUUCAUUUGAAGGUCAAGGUCACUGUGACCUUGAAUGUAAAAAUGUUAAAGUUCUUAUUUCAUGUUAUAACUUUGGUAUGCUUGUACCUAGAGUCUUCAAACUUGAAAUAAAGAUUGGCCAGUACUAGAAGAUGACCACUGGUCAUUUCAAUGUCAUUCAUUUGAAGGUCAAGGUCACUGUGACCUUAAAUGUUAAAAUGUUAAAAUUGUUAUAACUUUGGUAUGCUUGGACAUAGAGUCUUCAAACUUGACAUGAAGGUUUGCAAGCACACUUAGAUGACCACUGGUCAUUUCAAGGUCAUUCAUUCUAAGGUCAAGGUCACACAAGGUCACUGUGACCUUAAAUGUUAAAAUGUUAAAAUUGUUAUAACUUUGGUAUGCUUGGACAUAGAGUCUUCAAACUUGACAUGAAGGUUUGCAAGCACACUUAGAUGACCACUGGUCAUUUCAAGGUCAUUCAUUCUAAGGUCAAGGUCACUGUGACCUUAAAUGUUAUUGUUGUUCAUGUAUCCUACCGUAGCUCUAGAGUCUUGAAACUUGACAUGAAGGUUGGCCAGAACUAGUAAGUAACCCCUGGACAUUUCAAGGUCAUUCAUUUGAAGGUCAAGGUCACUGUGACCUUGAAUGUAAAAAUGUUAAAGUUCUUAUUUCAUGUUAUAACUUUGGUAUGCUUGUACCUAGAGUCUUCAAACUUGAAAUAAAGAUUGGCCAGUACUAGAAGAUGACCACUGGUCAUUUCAAUGUCAUUCAUUUGAAGGUCAAGGUCACUGUGACCUUAAAUGUUAAAAUGUUAAAAUUGUUAUAACUUUGGUAUGCUUGGACAUAGAGUCUUCAAACUUGACAUGAAGGUUUGCAAGCACACUUAGAUGACCACUGGUCAUUUCAAGGUCAUUCAUUCUAAGGUCAAGGUCACACAAGGUCACUGUGACCUUAAAUGUUAAAAUGUUAAAAUUGUUAUAACUUUGGUAUGCUUGGACAUAGAGUCUUCAAACUUGACAUGAAGGUUUGCAAGCACACUUAGAUGACCACUGGUCAUUUCAAGGUCAUUCAUUCUAAGGUCAAGGUCACUGUGACCUUAAAUGUUAUUGUUGUUCAUGUAUCCUACCGUAGCUCAAAUAUCCCCCGAUGGAUUUUUUAUACGCCCGUCUAUGACGGGACGUAUUAUGGUAUACCCCGCGUCCGUCUGUCCGUCCGUCCGUCCGUCCGUCCGUCUGUUAAUGUCGUACGCUACGUCAAAUAUCCUUUGACAGAUUUUCUUCAAAUUUUAACACAAUCUUAAUAUUGAUAAACCCUGAUCCCCUUUCGUUUUUGACGGAAUUCUGAAUUGUCGUUCCAGAGUUAUGGGACUUUGUUCGUCAAAAUUUCGUGAUUUCCAUGCUCAUGUACUUAUAAAAUAAACCAUGUAUUCAAAUACAAAUAAACUGAAGUAAAAAAAUGA